UACGGGAGGCAGCAGUGGGGAAUAUUGCACAAUGGGCGCAAGCCUGAUGCAGCCAUGCCGCGUGUAUGAAAAAGGCCUUCGGGUUGUAAAGUACUUUCAGUCGUGAGGAAGGUGUUAAGGUUAAUAACUUUAGCAAUUGACGUUAGCGACAGAAGAAGCACCGGCUAACUCCGUGCCAGCAGCCGCGGUAAUACGGAGGGUGCGAGCGUUAAUCGGAAUUACUGGGCGUAAAGGGCACGCAGGCGGUUAAUUAAGUUGGAUGUGAAAUCCCCGGGCUUAACCUGGGAAUGGCAUUCAAGACUGGUUAGCUAGAGUCUUGUAGAGGGGGUAGAAUUCCAUGUGUAGCGGUGAAAUGCGUAGAGAUGUGGAGGAAUACCGGUGGCGAAGGCGGCCCCUGGACAAAGACUGACGCUCAUGUGCGAAAGCGUGGGGAGCAAACAGGGAUUAGAUACC
rnacentral:rRNA from 1 species